GCUUCUGCAAAACGUGAACUGAAACAGCUGAACCGGGCAGGCCAGCUCCAGGGCAGAACCCACGGGUGUCAAAAUAUUACACCAAGUGAUUGCAGGUGCUCAUCUUCAAGGUGCUUUGAGUAGAAAAUAAGAACCUUCUAAAAAGUGCCUCCUAGUUGUGACGAAUGGAUCAUGCUUUCAGGCCACAGCGGGUAGUGCAGGGACAACACGACAUGAAGCUUUUCCUGGUGUCUGUUGUUAAAGUUGUGGGACUCAAUAGGAAUCCUGUGGUCCGGCACAAUUGGGAAUUGUUGCUACAGAGUAGUGUGGAAAACAAUGUUCUAUCCAGGCUAUCUGGAUUUAUACAUCCCAAAGAUGUAUGACUUCUCAUCUAUCUAUCUUCGUCUGUUUCUGUUCUUUGGAAAUGCGUCCAUUUGAUGUGUAAGAUUGGCUUGUCAUUCACACGAUUGCCAACUCUCCUAACAGCAGCUGCUUCAGGAUUUCUGAUGCUGUAAUUUGCCUAUGUAGACUAAUUAUAUUGAGCAAGAACCCAUUCAAACAUGUUCAUUAUAAAUACCAAUUGUGUCUGUGUGCCGUAGAGGCAGAGGUUACCUUAUUACGUGUCCAAAAACUUAAUCAAUUGAUGUUAACUAAGUCAAACAGAUUUAUGUAAGGUCAUGAACUGUUUUAGUACAUCUUAUUUAAAGACAUGUUGGCUUACAGAGGUCUUGGCUUUCCUCUCUCUAAGUAAUGGAUAAAUUAUCCACAUUUGUAUUCAAUUCUCCAUCACUGUUAUUUUUUUUAUUCUGCAGGAUGAGUUUCAGUUCACAUUUUGGAACAUAAUGAGGAGAGACAAAGGAAACUAUUUAUACAGGCAUGCGGUAUUCCUGAUACAGGCUAG
rnacentral:lncRNA from 1 species